AUUGAACGCUGGCGGCAUGCCUUACACAUGCAAGUCGAACGGCAGCACGGGAGCAAUCCUGGUGGCGAGUGGCGAACGGGUGAGUAAUAUAUCGGAACGUGCCCGGUCGUGGGGAUAACGCAGCGAAAGCUGUGCUAAUACCGCAUACGAUCUAUGGAUGAAAGCGGGGGAUCGCAAGACCUCGCGCGAUUGGAGCGGCCGAUAUCAGAUUAGCUAGUUGGUGGGGUAAAGGCCCACCAAGGCGACGAUCUGUAGCUGGUCUGAGAGGACGACCAGCCACACUGGAACUGAGACACGGUCCAGACUCCUACGGGAGGCAGCAGUGGGGAAUUUUGGACAAUGGGCGCAAGCCUGAUCCAGCAAUGCCGCGUGCAGGAUGAAGGCCUCGG
rnacentral:rRNA from 1 species